UGGGGAAUCUUGCACAAUGGGGGCAACCCUGAUGCAGCGACGCCGCGUGAGCGAUUAAGGUUUUCGAAUCGUAAAGCUCUGUCCUAUGGGAAGAUAAUGACGGUAUCAUAGGAGGAAGCCCCGGCUAACUACGUGCCAGCAGCCGCGGUAAUACGUAGGGGGCGAGCGUUGUCCGGAAUUACUGGGCGUAAAGUGUUCGCAGGCGGCCUGGCAAGUCCGAUGUAAGAGGCGAAGGCUCAACCUUCGUAAGCAUCGGAAACUGUCAAGCUUUAGUGAAGUAAAAGCAAGGGGAAUUCCUAGUGUAGCGGUGGAAUGCGUAGAUAGUAGGAGUAAUACCGGUGGCGAAGGCGACUUGCUGGACUUAAACUGACGCUGAGGACCGAAAGCAUGGGUAGCAAACAGG
rnacentral:rRNA from 1 species